UUCAACUGCCAAACCCUUCCUAAUUCCAAACCUAUAGGUCAAAACACCUCAAACAGAUUGUUUUCGGCAAUUUCCCAAAAUUUUUGGGUUUUGGGUUAAGUUUGGGCAAUUUUCCACCAAAACUCUAUAUCAGCGCUCGCAAAACCCCGUUUGAUUUGGGAAAGAAAAUGCCUCCGGCGAAGAAGGGGAAAACGAAAGCGGCGAAAGCUACUGAAUCAAUUCAAUCCUCCGUCAAAACCAACAAUUACCCAUCGUGUCUUCGCUCUGUUUCUCCUUCUUCCGUCGCCAUUACCAUCCACGCAAAGCCUGGCUCCAAGAUCGCUUCUAUCACAGACUUUGGCGAUGAUGCGUUGGGAGUGCAAAUCGAUGCACCGGCCAAAGAUGGAGAAGCUAAUGCUGCACUUCUUGAUUACAUGAGCUCUGUUUUAGGUGUCAAAAGAAGACAAUUAUCUAUAGGUUCUGGCUCUAAAUCAAGAGACAAGGUUGUGAUCGUGGAGGAGGUAAUUAUUUUGGGGUCGAGGAUCGAGUCAACAGGAUACUUUCAGACUUUGUUGUCUUUAUGUUCUCAUCUGGCUAAGACCUGUAUGGUGAUCCGUAUAAAGGUAACGAGGGUUCAGUUAGACAUGUUUAGGCAUACCAUAUUCGGACCCAUCUUAGAUAGUACUCUCUUCCUCCAUGGACAAUUGAUACAUCACCUACUUCUCAAAGAGGUGGUUGAUGAUAGACCGAACAUAAUUUCCUUUAAUCUGUUUGGGUCUAGGAUGUCAUUUGCUAAGGAUGAGUUUGAUCUCAUCACUUGGUUUAGGGUGCAGACGCGAGUGGUGCGGAAUAAUCCUAACCCUACAAAGCUUAGAAACCUAUACUUCAACAAUAGGCUUAGAUUGAAACAGACUUAAGCUGAGGAACAUUUUCUUGCUAUGGACUUUAGAAGUGAUGAGGAUGCGGUGAAAGUGGCACUUGCUUAUUUCAUAGAGUUAGUCAUGAUGAGGAGGAAGAAUAAGCAGGUGUUUGACUAUACCAUCAUCAGAAUUGUGAAUGGUUGAGAGAUUUUUUGCAACUAUGACUAGAGUAGUGUGAUUUUCGAGAAAACAAUCAGUAGUCUUAAGAGAGCUCUUACCAGUGCUAUCGAUCGAGCAGAACCCGAGAUGUUAGCUAGAUAUAGCCUGUAAGGAUUCCCCAUUCACCUUACAGGUUAGUUUACAUACGUAUUCUACGUGUGCUUCCUUCUCCGUUAUCGUCAAUUAUUUUUUAUGAUUUGAUUCUAUCUUCCUAUUUAUAAGUAUAGGCAUGUGAAACGAUUUCUUCAUUCAGAAACCUCGUGGCAACUCGUACUAGUGAGACAACUAGUCUAUGUUUGUCUCGAUGGGAAAGCAGGAAAAACCCAACAUAUGCCUUGUUGGAUAGAGAUAUUUUCAAUCCACGACAAAUAAUGGAUUUAAAAUUCUUUUUAUAUAAUGUUCUAAGUUAAUGUUGCUUAUGCCCCUAACUCCUUACAUGCAAGGAAACCCCGUUAUAAUGGUACGAUUUGUACCAACAGAGGACGAGGUAGCUCACAUGCGUCACAUAGUUCUUGUCCUAGAAGUACGUGUCCUCUCACCGAGGCUUGUUAGUGAGGGUGAUGUUGGCCACGAUCAAGGUGAUCGUGGCGAAGAGGGUGGGGACCAUCACGACGAGGGUGAUCAUGGCGUCAGACUGGAUCACAUCCAUAGUGAGGGUGAUCAUGGUGACAAUGAGGGUGAUCAUGGACAUGAUGACCACCAAGACUAGAACCGAGUUGAUGUUGAAAUGAGUCGGGUGGAAGAAGAUCCCUCCCAUUCAAACAUCGACAUUGACAAUUCUACACAUCUGAUUCGUUGUGGAAUAUCGGAUACCCAGGUUACAGAUGAGCUCAAAUGGCUUCAAGCACAUAGAGAUAUAUUUGAGGCCGAUUUGAGGUCUAGGUUCGAUGCCUUGAAAUCGGCAUCUAAAGCUGUGGGAUAAAUAAAACGAUUGGAGGGCUCGCCUGGAUCGGUUUGAAGCCAAUGUUAAGCCCGAGUUCGAUACCCUCCAUUCUAAGGUUGUUGAUAUAUAGCGAGAUGUCUCUGCUAUGAUGGGAUAUCUAAGGCAACUACUAAAGGGAAAAUAUGUUGCGCAAUCUGAUGAUGCGAAUGUAGAACCCGAAAUUGAUUUCCCUCAUAUCGUGACUGAGGAUGUUCUUGGCUCAUCUAGGGUUGUGGGAUAUUGCAUCGGAUCCCUUUGGGGAGGAGCUGAGGGAGCAAAGGAUAACUCAGUUGUCUUCGCUCUUUAAAUCAUUCCUAACACUGUUGAGGAUAUAUGUAGUCUUCAGAAACUGACACUUGGAGGAUAGAAGAUAAUUACAAUUGACUCACAGGAUGUUAGUGUUAUAGAAACUGUGCCUUUAGGUGUCGAUGGCACAAGUAAGAAUGAAUCUAAUGAACCAAAGGAAUCAUAUGUUCAUCCUGACGACGUGGUGAAACAAAUGAACACUGGCGCCUUGGUCAUCGUACUUAGUCCGCAUAAACAAGGCCCGAAAACAUAACGUAGAUACAAUACAAACGGUGGACAAUGAGGACGAGGAUAAUUAGAGGAAGACAACCAGUCGCAAAGGCAAGACAUCCAUAACCUCAGUUACCAAAGUUGUUGAAGUUAGUAUUUUACGAUGUCGAUGUGUGCUUUCAGAUGUCGUACAACGUUCCUAAUAGUUAUUUAGUAGGAUACAUCCACGAGAACGCUGGAUUGUUUGAAAAUAGACGAGGAAUGCUCCAAAAGUACUUCAGGCCUUGGGGGAACAGUGAGAAGCUACUGAUUAAAGAUGAAACAAAAGGAAACUGAGAUACUAGAUGAUCCAAUUCCAGUUCCUAUACUUAUUCCAGUUAUGUCGCACAUUCUAGUGGCGUUACAGGGAGGCCGAUCCGGAUUGGUGCGUACACGUUGGGUUCCAUGGAACUAUCGUCACCAUAUAAGGUCCCUGAACUUUAACCAAAUAAGGGUAAAGGGAAACAGAAGGGAUAUAACCUGAUGGUAUCAAUUCCAAAAUAGAGUGAGAAGUACAUGAUAGGGAAUAAAUCAUCCACAAAUAACAUCGUCAAACUUGUGGGAGCAAGCAUUGCACCCACUUUGUAAAGUAACCUAUUUAGGAAAAUUGCAGGUUUUGACCUAAAAAGUUUUUUCCCAUUCAAAAGUAA